GGAAUCUGGAAAACAUUAUAUUGGCUGGGCUAAGCUAUGAUGUUCAGUAGGUUAGGCAUAUUAAAUACAUUUUCAUUUUACAGUAUUUUUAACUUGUAAAGGGUUUAUUGGGAUGAAACUCCACAGCAGGUUGAAGAGCAUCUGUAUAAAGAUCUACAAAUGAAUAAGGAAAAGAUAAAAACCAUAGUGGAAAAAUGGGGAAAGGAUAUAAGCAGAUUCUUCAUGGUAAAAGGAAAUAAAUAAAAUUCAGAGAGGUGAGGGGGAAAAAGAAAAAAAAGGAAAUAAAAAUGAUCACUCAGUAAGAAAAGAUAAGCAAACUCAUAAGCAAUGAGACAAAUUCCCAUUGAAGAGAGAGGUUUUAGCAAAGUGUUAGUACAACAAGUGCCUAUGCUGGGGGUGGGCACAGGCUUUUUGGAGGGUGACUUAGCCCCUGCCCCCCAGCUCAGCAAUUCUACUUCCCAGCGCCUCCCCGUAGAGAGCCUGGCAGAGACCUGCACUGUGGCGGCCACUGCAGUGAGCUGUAACAGCACCGCUGAAAACAGCCUGGAUGUCCAGCAAUAGGGGAUGAGGUAAACCCUGUGGGUUUCCCAUAUAUGCACAGCCUAGUGGCAAUUACAAGGACUGAGGAGGGAAAUGUUUGGCUUUGGGAUGCUGUGUGUCUAUGGAGACAGACUACUCCCCACUGUGCCCUGCAGCAGAGCAGGCUCUCUGGGAGGCACCCUAGCUGUGGAUUCAGGAAGAUGGGGCUGGCUAGAUGUUUCCUGCCCUGCUUGGAGGUUGGCUUCCCCCAUCUCCCACCUGCCCCCAUCCCAACCCAAACCUAACUGCAGUGGUUGGGGAUAAAGGAGAAAAUAAGUCUGGGUGUGAUAGCUCAUGCCUGAAAAUCUAAAACUCUGGGAAGCACAAGCAGGAGGAUAGCUUGAGCCCAGGAGUUCAAGACCAGUGUGGACAACAUAGUGAGACCUCGUCUCUUGAAAAAAAUCAAAACAGGCUGGGUGCGGUGGCUGACGCCUGUAAUCCCAGCACUUUGGGAGGUCAAGGUGGGAGGAUUGCCUGAGCCCAGAAGUAUGCUGGGAUUACAAGUGUGAGCCACCAUGACCAGCCCUGUAUUAUGGUUUUUUUUUUUUUUUUUUUUUUUUUUGAGACGGAGUCUCACUCUGUCGCCCAGGCUGAAGUGCAGUGGCACGAUCUCAGCUUAUCGCAACCUCCGCCUCCCGAGUUCAAGCAAUUCUCCUGCCUCAGCUUCCCGAGUAGCUGGGAUUACAGGCAUCCGCCACCACACCCAGCUAAUUUUUGUAUUUUUAGUUAGAGACAAGGUUCCACCAUGUUGGCCAGGCUGGUCUCGAACUCCUGACCUCAGGUGAUCCACCUGCCUCAGCCUCCCAAACUGCUGGGUGUAUUAUGUUUUUAAAGUAAAAAUGCAUUCAUGUAUUUCUUAUAUAAUAAGCCACUAAAUAAUUUUAAAAGUUUUUUUUUGGCCAGGUGCGGUGGCUCACACCUGUAAUCCCAGCACUUUGGGAGGCUGAGGUGGGCAGAUCACCUGAGGUUAGGAAUUCAAGACCAGCCCGGCUCAGCCUUCCAAGGAGCUGGGAUUACAGGCACAUGCCACCACGCCUGGCUAAUUUGUAUUUUUAGUAGAGACAGGGUUUCACCAUGUUGGCCAGGCUGGUCUAGAACUCCUGAUUCAGAUGAUCCGCCCACUUUGGCCUCCCAAAGUGCUGGGAUUACAGGCAUGAGCCACCAAGCCCAGCCAAAAUGUUUAAAUUAGUAAAGAAAGAAAAUUCUGGAAUUUUUUGUAGAGGUGGGGUCUCACUAAGUUGCCCAGGCUGGUCUCAAACCCCUAGGCUCAAGCAAUCCACCCAAAGUGCUGGGAUUACAGGCAGGAGACACUACACCCAGCCUAAAAAUUUUUUUUGAAAGCUUAAAACAAGGAAGGAAAAGGGAAAACGGAAGCUAAGGAGACCAGUGAAGAAGCUGUUGGCAAAGGGUGGUAAGACCUGAGCCGGCGUGUCCCCAUCUGUGAAAUGGGUACACCGAUCCCUAUGGUCACUGAAGCUGUUGAGAGGACCCCUGCGCUAAUGAGAGUGAACUCUGCAGUCUGUGAGGUUGGUGCCCCAGAUACUUAGCUGGAGGACAGGACUCUGCCCAAGUCCCUUGUAUGGGCCUACCUAUGGGGCCACCCUCCUCGCUAUGCCUGAUCCUCACAGGUUUCAGCACACUGGCCCCAGGUCACAGGGGCCGACCUGGGACAUAGAGAAAGAUCCAGCCAUGGGGCUACCUCCCAGAGCAGACACCAGCCCUUGACGGGCCCAGCAGCCAUGUUGGGUCUCCAUGCAAUUUAGUCUUAUGAGCCACAGCUCAGCUUAGACUCAGGCUCCAGGAAUAGGUCCCCAAGACACUCUCAUUCCCCAGUGGUUCCCAGCAGUAUUGGGACAACCAAAAUCAGCCUCAAACUGCUCAGGCCUUCCCCAGGGAUAUGACACUUAGCAGCUCCUGGGGCUGCCCAGGCUGAGAACUACCUAUCCCCAGCCCCAGGUAGAGAGCCCCAAGUCUGGCUGUAAGAACAAGGUGAAGCCAAAGACUCAAAAGCAGGUCCUUGCCUCCCGUGACUGCAGGCACAGCCCAGUGAGGGGCAGCAGGGCUGCCAAUGGUCCCCUGAAUUGGCACCCACUUCCUGGGUUUAGCACCACUGUGGCCUCAAGAGGCCCUAAAGGAGGGUUGUCAUGGCAUGCACCAUGGGUUCCUCACAUAGUUCCUCUGGCCCAGGGGAACACGUGUCCUAGAGGCAGCUGCUCCUGGCGUCACUGUUGGUAGGUCCAGAUGAAGGACAGGCCUCUGCCUGGGAGUGUCAGGAUGCAGAGAGGCUGCCUCAUUCCUGCUGCGGCAGCCAGGGUCCCCACACACUCACACUCAUGUCAGCGAGGUCACAGGAGGUCGUCUCUACAUGAGGCUGUGAUAAGGCUGCGUGGGAGCCUGCAUGCAGGCUCAGCAUCAUCCUGCCCGGGCGGGAACCCUGGUCCACCCUUGCUGUAGGACUUCAGUCAAAUGACAGCCUCUCUUGACCCUCAGUUUCCCCAACUGCAAAAGUAGCACCCGACAACAUGCACUGACCCCCCAGGGCUGCUGGGCGUGCUUGGCUGAUGGUUCACUCUCAGAAGUAUCUGUCCCUACCCACCUCGUAGGUGCGGUCAGGUGAGUUCUUCUCUGCCUCUGUUUCCACACUGCACCUGGAAGAAGCUGGAGGACCUGCUCUCCUAAUUGCUCCUCUACCACUGAUGUUGUAAGAAGGGGACACUGACUUGUCACUCUCUGCCAAUGUAGGAGCCAGGCACUGUCUCUGUUGGCUCAGGGCUGGGCUCCCAGGAAGUAAAAGCCUAAAGGCUUGUGGUGACUGCACCCUGGGGCGGCUGCUCCAUUGUUUCCUGUCAGUCCCGCUCAUCUGCUCAACAACCCUUUGGAGGAAACACACAGGAGGGUCCUGCCCUCUAGUGGCUGCCGGCGGCCAGGUCUCUCCUCACAGGGCUCCGCCCGCGACCUCAGAGGAGCCCACCGCCCUCUCUGCCUGCUCUAGUGCCUGCCGCACAGCAACAAGCAGGCAUUUCCUGGGGGUGAAGCCGAGGCUGGCCCCAUGAGCUGACACCCAGCAAUCUUCAUCUCCGAGCACCUUUGAGUCCUGGGGGGCCCUGCUUCCAGAUGUGAGCCCCCAGCCCGUGGGGCUGGGUGGUCCUGGGCUGUGCCACAGGGUUUCAGCCCACCGCGAAGGAGGCCUGACGGUGUCCAGGUCGAGGGCACCUGUGGGCAAUGAUUGACAUAACACUGCAGAGAGAGAGCCUGGUGGGGCACCGGCCUCUGCCCAGGCUGGGUUCCGGGGCCUUCCCCCAUGUGCCCACAUCCCAUGCUUCCCCCGUUACAGCCUCUGCCGUCAGACUGCGCACCAGCAUCUGUGGGUGAGGAGAGAACCUGGGCUGGGGCUUGACACAAAAGGGGCUUUGCCUCUGGACACCCCCACCUGUGCCGCAAGUGGAGGGGGCGGGGAAACGGGGAGGAGGGAAAGUAAGCGGAAGUCCCGCCUCUGUGGAAGCGCCUCUGCACCCUUUGUCCCCCAAGGGAAGCACAAGUGUGUGGCCAGUCAGAUAAAGCAGGCCUUUCCUUGCCUUUAUGGAGCCACGGGCUGAGGCUGGACCAAGGGUCAGUGAGGGGUUCAGGAGGCCCCCUCUGCGCCUCUCUUCCAGGCCCUGAGCCCAUCAUUCCCUUCGUUGUUAGAGUGAAACUGUGAAGAGCCGCAGCUCUGUGCCGGGCGAAGAGGAUUUGGCAGUGAAAAGGAUGAGCUUGCCUUGCCCUGGGGGCAACUGGCACCUGGGGUAAGAGGUGGCCGGUGAGAGCCUGAGCCCUCUGGAGAGCAGAGGCCCCGUUGUGCACAGAGCCAGUAUACCCAAUGCUCGGGGAGCUCCCAACAACCCUACCCAGCCCUGCGGGAGACCACAAAGCUCUAGGGAAGAGCCUGUCCCAGGAAGCACAGGGCUUCGAAGUUCUGACAAGGACAUCGGAGUUCCAGGCCCACCCCACACAUGCACACACUUCCUGCUUCCAAUUAGCACUAAUUGGACGACUGGGAAAACCCACAGACCAUGAAGCAGAAGCAGUUAGGUCUGCGGGGCCCCGGUGAGGCAGGCCCUGCGAGGGCCCAGGUGAGCCAGGCUCUGGGGGAUGGGCCCUGGGGUCUCUGUCUCUCUGAGAGGGGAUCAGGUGAUCAGGGCCACAUCUGCCAGGAUCCCUACUGGCCCCUCUGGAAGACGGAAAUUGUCCCAGGGCCAGGGCAGAAGCUGGGUGUGGGGGAGCCUGACAAACACCCCCUCUCAGCCUGGCAUUUAAGGCUCCCCUAAACCUGGCCCUACCAGCAUCCCCCCUCCCAACCUGGUCUCUUUCAUUUCUUCUGCUCCUAGUUCUCACUGCCUAAGUCACCCACUGAUUAAUUCUUUAUGUCACUCCAUCUAUUCAUGUAUUACGUGUCCAGGAGCCCUCCUGUGGCCAGAUCCUGGGACCACAGAGAUGGAUGUGCCAGGUUGGCAGAGACCACAUUGCAGGGCAACCCCUCUGCUGGCUCCACUUCAUUCUUGGUGGGAAGAAGGAGGCCAGGCUGAGCACUGCAUGCGUAUGAAUAGAAGUAUCAGCUUUGCUUGGCACUCUCUGGGUGAGGCUUUGUGUCCCUUGAUCCUUUAGACCGCACUCAGGGUAUGUGCCAGGCUGUGUCCACAUCCAUGGCCAAGCUCAAGACAGAAGCUCUGCCAGGAACAGCUAGGACUAGGGGGCAAGAAGAGAAGCAGGCACCAAAUCUGAGCUGCUCUGGGGUGGGUCUAGCCCGUGGGGAGAAGCAGGGACUGGCCCUUAGCAAGAGGCUGGCUCUGGAACUUGCAUGCUGGAGUAGUCUGGGCCCCAGCCCCAGAGUGAGGGCCCCGAGUCAACCCUUUAUAUAAUACUGCAUGGCUCAGGCCCUCAGCCCUGAGCAGGGGUAGUGAGAACAAGGCCCCUUGCCCCACAGGUGUAUGUCGGGCCUGACCCUUGGGCCCCGUUCUCCAGAACAUCCCCACCACAGAGACAGAGGCUCAGCUCCACUCCCUUCCCUUCCCCUGCUUAGAGACCAACCUGGUCCUGGGCAAUUUGGUGUUGCCAUGACAACCACAUACUUUCUUCUUCCCCACUUAGCCGAUUGAAUCUGAGUUGCAGAUGAAAUCCUGGUGAGUUGUGUGUUUAGAAAGCAUGCGGCCAUUUGGAGUGCUCCAUGCAUCUUUCAUCUCCCAGACACCUCUGACACCCAUCCCUUGUCUCUUGAUGGCUGAGGGAGAGGAUAUGCGGCCUGUACCCUCUCCCUAUGCCUGGGGUAGUCCUGGCCCAAUGGCACAGCCUCCUUGAGGUACAGCCUCUGGCAUGCAGGAACACAUGGAUGACAUUCUCAUGGGCAGCCUCUGUGGUGAGUGGGCCCUGUGAGCUGGAUGGCAGUCACCAGGAGCCUCCGACAAUGCAUAGUCCUCUCCAUCGUGAGGCAUGUGGUGUCUGGGUAAGAGCUCUUGACUCAGGAGGCUCUCUCUGUCCCCUUCAGGAAUGUGUGCUGCCCUUAAGGACUUGGGCCACCAAGACUGGGAGUUGCUGGCCAGGGGCCCCCAGCAUCAUCUUAACCUUCAUGCAUUCCCUAGGGCUGACCUUAGCCUCCUCUGACCAGCAAUGAAGAGUCACCUGCAGCACAAAGCUGGCUGGGAGCAGGCUCAGAGCUCAGCCCCGAGAUGGGGGAGACGAGACACAGGGAAGUAGUAAAAGUGGCCCCAUCUGUGAUGAGCAGGGUGCUGGUGGCCCUGGGAGGCAACCUCAGCUUGGCAGUUGGGUAGGGCUGGUUUAGCAAGUUUAAGGGGAAGUUAACAUGGGGUGAUCAGAGAAAAGUGGGGCUGGCUCUUUCUCCGAUCUGCCUGGGUGGGGGAUGGAAAUCAGCAUGGGGCAUCUUACCAGGAAUGGUCACCCAGGAUGGACAGGGAGACCUGCCUCUGUCCUCUACACUCAGGGCCUGAGGCCCCUGCCCCACACUGCAGAUGUUAAACCCACAAAGUGGUCCCAUUUGUGUGGCUGCCGCCCCACUGGGCUGCAGCAUCCUGGGCAGGCGGUUGGCCCUUGAGCAUAACUGUACCUCCUUAUCUAGGCCUGCAUUUCCACCCGGAUCUUACUACCUCUCUGAGCCUCAAUGUCUUCCCUCUGGGGAAGGGAGGCAGGGGCAAACGGAUAGGUUGGUAAGAGUGGAAUAAGUAGUGAGGGGUUCCUGGAGCAAUGUCUCCAGGGAAAGCACACCUGCUGGGUGUAUUUGGUCAGAUUUGUAUGAUUUUGUAGGGAAGAAUAUAAAGUACAAAUAUAAAAAAGCAAAUAAAAAAGACAGAUAAUUAUAGCUUGAGGAAAAACAAAGAAUCAUAGCAGAAAGGAAAUAGAAUACUACUUGGUUUAGCAGAAAACAAUGUUUGCGUAGCGUUAAACAUGUAAACACUGAAUAUCAACUUACGCCAAAUCAUAGCAUUUGAAGGAUGGGGAGGAAAUGUAUGGAGAGGUGGCUAUCAGCUCAUUUUCCAUAGUAGGAAAUCAAUGUUCUAAAGGUGAAAGAGGCAGGGUGCAGUGGCUCAUGCUUGUAAUCCCAACAAUUUGGGCCAAGGCAGGAGGAUCGCUUGAGGCCAGGAGUUCAAGACCAGCCUGGGCAACAUAGUGUGACCCCAUCUCUACAAAUCAUUUUAAAAUUAGGCAUGGUAGCACACACUUGUAGUCCCAGCGACUCGGGAGGCUGAAGUGGGAGGAUUGCUUGACCCCAGGAGUUUGAGGCUGCAGUGAGCUGUGAUUGUGCCACUGCUCUCCAGCUCAGCCUGGGCAACAGAGGGAGACCUCAUCUCAAAAAAAAAAAAAAAGAGUGAAAGAGUCAAAAGAACUGAAAGCAAUGGGUCAAGAAGAGGGGAAUCAGUAUUUCCAGCCUUGCAGUAUUGCUCAACCUUAAAACUAUGGGUCAAGAAGAGGGGAAUUAGUAUUUCCAGCCUUGCAGUAUUGUUCAACCUUUAAAACUAUGUACCAUACGUGUAUUGUUUUGAUCAAAAGAGAAAUUAAAUAUAAAAGCAGGUAGGAUUAAUAUAAAACCUCUUAAACACUGAGGCUUGAGAGGUUUAGUAAACUGCCCAAGAUCAUGGUGUAAAGGACACAGCAGAGCUGGAACCUACACUAGGGUCUGUCUGUGCCAGAGCCCACAGCAGGCAUGAGCGUGGAGUGAUCUUGUCAAAACCUUAGAAUCCACCCUUGGACCAGGCAGCUCAAAGACCUUCCCCAAGCACCAAUGCAUGCUACAAAGAUGAGCCUCCAGCAUAAGGGGCUGCACCCCAUGCCUGUGGGCAGGGAAACAAGGCCCUUGAGCAAACCCCUUCCAAAGCCACUAGCCCACAGAGGCCCUGUCGCCCACAGAAGGAGCCAGAGCAGUUGGCAGAGCCCCUUCCUCGGCUGUUCCGCUUCUGUUUACUGGGUGGCUUUUGUUCCCUAGCUUCCCAUCCAGCUAGGCUGGUUAAUCAGAUUCUCUGAGGGGAGGGCUGGGGCAUCAGUGACUUUACUGACACCCAGAGGAAUUGCUUCUUGGGAAGCAAUUACUUGUGACAGGUGCACACUCCCAGCGGCUGAGCUUGUCUGUGGCUGAGGAUGCCGUGGAGCCUGGGGGGACAGGUCCUUGUUGCUGGCUUGUGCUCAGCAGGGACACCAAGGUCCACUGCUCCUCCAUGGUUUUCUUGGCCUCUGCAGGAGGAAAGACUGUCAGCUGAAUGACCAAGUGACAGGUUGCCACGAUGUCACAAUUAAUACAGACCAUUGACUGGGAGGCUGGCAUCAUGCAAAGCCCUUUUCAGAUGUGGAACCCAGGCGAUCUGAACGGUUUGGCCCACUGACCUACAGGUCCUGAGUCUCAGGCUCCAGGCUGGCUGGUCAUCAACUCAAUAUGACCUGGGCAGGCUCCCUUCCAUCCUAGGCUCUCUUAGGGGCGAGGCUGGGGCUGAGAGGCGGUGAAGUUCACUCUCAGGGUUCAUCAGCAGGCAAAAUGGAGAAGGAGA
rnacentral:lncRNA from 1 species